GAUGAACGCUGGCGGCGUGCCUAAUACAUGCAAGUCGAGCGAACAGACGAGGAGCUUGCUCCUCUGACGUUAGCGGCGGACGGGUGAGUAACACGUGGAUAACCUACCUAUAAGACUGGGAGAACUUCGGGAAACCGGAGCUAAUACCGGAUAACAUGUUGAGCCGCAUGGUUCAACAGUGAAAGACGGUCUUGCUGUCACUGAGAGAUGGAUCCGCGCCGCAUUAGCUAGUUGGUAAGGUAACGGCUUACCAAGGCAACGAUGCGUAGCCGACCUGAGAGGGUGGUCGGCCACCCUGGAACUGAGACACCGUCCAGACUCCUACGGGAGGCAGCAGUAGGGAAUAUUCCGCCAUGGGCGAAAUCCUGACGGAGCAACGACGCGUGAGUGAAGAAGGUCUUCGGCGCGUAAAACUCUGUUAUUAGGGAAGAACAAAUGUGUAAGUAACUAUGCACGUCUUGACGGUACCUAAUCAGAAAGCCACGGCUAACUACGUG
rnacentral:rRNA from 1 species